rnacentral:lncRNA from 10 species
CUUUUAGAAUGUAAUAAAUGCUUAAAGAAGAAUUAUACUGUGAGUAGAACAGCAUGCAGCCUGGCACUUAGCAAGUGAUCGAGAAAUAAUUCAUGAGUGAAUGAAUGAACAGAUGACAGAUGUAACCAAAAAUCAAAACUAAAAUCACUUCUGAAGUCGAGGAUGCACUUCUCAAUGGUGUGAACUUUAAAAGGUCAAAAAGUAAAUAUGUCCUUAUUUGGAAAAUAAGACAUGUUUCUUGUGAGGAAUAUUGGCCGAUCCAGAAAAAAAUAUAAAGAAGAAAAGAAAACAGCCAGAAAUCUCAGCAACUGGUAAAAAUAGAUGAAUUCUGAGGAACUGAGGUCUCCUGCCAACAGCCAGCAUCAACUUGCCAGUCUUGUGAGUGAAUCAUCCUGGAAAUGGAUUCUUCAGCCACAAUCAAGCCUUCAGAUGACGGUAGCCCUGGCUGAGAGCUUGACUGCAACUGUGUGAGUGAUCCUAAGCCAGAACCACCAGCCAAGCCACUCACAACUUCCUGACCCACAGACACUGUAAUAGAUGUUUAUUGUUGUUUUAAGCUGCUAAAUUUAGAGUCAUUUGUUUCACAGCAAUAGAUAAUGGAUACAUAUCCUAAUUACUAAAUAGGUAGAGAUGAGACAAAUGAUCUGUAGGAAAGGAAUACAGUUGUACAACAGCAAAUAAACAAUGAAACUGAGUCUGAA